rnacentral:rRNA from 1 species
UACGUAUGUCGCGAGCGUUAUCCGGAAUUAUUGGGCAUAAAGGGCAUCUAGGCGGCCGGGUAAGUCCGGGGUGAAAACUGCUGGCUCAACCAGCAGCCUGCCUUGGAAACUACCCGGCUUGAGUGCUGGAGAGGUGGACGGAACUGCACGAGUAGAGGUGAAAUUCGUAGAUAUGUGCAGGAAUGCCGAUGAUGAAGAUAGUUCACUGGACGGCAACUGACGCUGAAGUGCGAAAGCUAGGGGAGCGAACAGG